rfam:Ixodes scapularis strain Wikel colony gcontig_1108378786940, whole genome shotgun sequence.
CCCUGGUUAGCUCAGUUGGUAGAGCGCUCCACUGGAAAGGGAGAGGUCCCGGGUUUGAUACCCGGACCAGGCG